AGCAGCCGCGGUAAUUCCAGCUCCAAUAGCGUAUAUUAAAGUUGUUGCAGUUAAAAGCUCGUAGUUGAAUUUCGGGAUCAAUAUGUUGGUCGUGCCUUGGUACGUACUGGCGUCAUUGGUUUCUACCUUCUGAAGAACCUCGAUGUCAUUAAUUUGGUGUCUUGGGGAAUCAGGACUGUUACUUUGAAAAAAUUAGAGUGUUUAAAGCAAGCUCACGCUUGAAUACAUUAGCAUGGAAUAAUGAAAUAGGACGUUUGAUUCUAUUUUGUUGGUUUCUAGGAUCGACGUAAUGAUUAAUAGGGAUAGUUGGGGGCAUUAGUAUUCAAUUGUCAGAGGUGAAAUUCUUGGAUUUUAUUGAAGACUAACUACUGCGAAAGCAUUUGCCAAGGAUGUUUUCAUUAAUCAAGAACGAAAGUUAGGGAUCGAAGACGAUCAGAUACCGUCGUAGUCUUAACCAUAAACUAUGCCGACUAGGGAUCGGAUGAUGUUAAUUUUUUAAUGUACUCAUUCGGCGUCCG
rnacentral:misc_RNA from 1 species